GGGCGAAUGGUUUAGUGGUAUAAUACUCCCUUAGCAUGAUUCAUCCGAACAAUCUGGGAGUGGUCCAGGGUUCGAUUCCCUGUUCGUCCA
rnacentral:tRNA from 2 species